rnacentral:rRNA from 1 species
UACGUAGGGUGCGAGCGUUGCCCGGAUUUAUUGGGCGUAAAGGGCGCGUAGGCGGCCACGCACGUCCGUUGUGAAAUCGCCCCGGCUCAACUGGGCGGGGUCAGCGGAUACGGUGUGGCUAGAGCAAGCUAGGGGGCAAUGGAAUUCCUGGUGUAGCGGUGAAAUGCGCAGAUAUCAGGAGGAACACCGGUGGCGAAGGCGGGACUCUGGGCCGAUAACUGACGC